UACGUAGGGCGCAAGCGUUGUCCGGAAUUAUUGGGCGUAAAGAGCUCGUAGGCGGUCCGUCACGUCUGCCGUGAAAACCCGAGGCUUAACCUCGGGCCUGCGGUGGAUACGGGCGGACUAGAGGUAGGUAGGGGAGAAUGGAAUUCCCGGUGUAGCGGUGAAAUGCGCAGAUAUCAGGAGGAACACCGGUGGCGAAGGCGGGUCUCUGGGCCGAUACUGACGUGAGGAGCGAAAGCGUGGGGAGCGAACAGG
rnacentral:rRNA from 1 species